ensembl:lncRNA
ACAUAGUGCUAUCUUUGUUAAAAUUAAUGGUAUACCCAGCAGGAGCAUUGGGGGGGGGGUGAAAUAUUAUCAUAUGCAACUUCUGAACAGAUCUGAUCAUGUUUGUCAUGUUCUCCAGUCUCCGCAGCUUCAUCUUCUCUUCUGGUCACUGGUGUGGUUGUGGGAUUGAGUGUUUGUCUGUUGUUCUUCCUCUCACUGCUGCUGAUGUGGAGAUACAAGAAGAACAAAGAUCAGCAGCGUAACAUUAACCAGACAUCAGUCCCAAAUCAAUCUGCACAAUCUCAACCGGAAAACUCUCCUCUACAGUCUGGUCAGCCUCAAUAACUAAUUAUAUACAUACAUAUAUAUACAGGUGCUUCUCAAUAAAUUAGAAUGUUGUGGAAAAGUUCAUUUAGAAGUCAUUGUUACGAAAAAUAUAUAUCUGGAUAAAGGUUAAAAUCUCUUCACUACAAUUAGACAAUAGAGUCAUCAGUCAUUAACCAAUAACUUUGAUGGUGUGUCUAUGUAUGUUGCAUAAUAUUAUUAUUUUUUAUUUAUUUAUUUAUUUAUUUUUUGCAGAUGAUACCAUGACAGAGUCAAAUGAUGUGAUAUACUCAGAAGUCAGCACAAAAGUAAAGAAAUGUAAAAGCAAAGAUGCUGAUGCUGGAGUUGGUGAUGCAACUUAUGCUCAUCCUAUUAGGAAGAAGAAUAAAACACGUAAGAAUUGUUACAACUGUACAUGAAUUUUACAAUAACUGACAACAAGCACUCGUUCCUGCAGAUUGUGGCAUAUACUGGUUCUUUUACAUUAUAAAUAUGUUUUAAGUGAUUCAGAUUAGUUGCGUGUGAGUAUCAGAGGUUAAUCGUGAUCUUAGAACAGUAAAUCAUCAGCAGAAUGAGCUCAAAUCAGAGGUUUGUGUUAUUCACAUCAGCUGCAUAAAGCAUCAUCUUUUCUCUGUUUAAAGGUCCCUGAGUGCAGAGAAGACACCAGACGAUUAAAAGAGAUUCACAGCAGCAGACACAGUAACGCUUGCAUUGCUUAAGAUAUGUGAACUGAUUAUGCACAUGCUUGAUUGAAAUACUUUAGAGAUAUUUAUGCACUGUAUUAUAUGUACAAUUGCAAGCAAUCAAAUCUAUCUAUACAUAUAGUGAAACAUUUUACCAGUGAGCACUCAUGUUUAUACUAUUCAGUGUUAACUGCCCUAAAAGUUAUUACAUUAUUCUAUUGGUGCUGCACAACAGUUAAACAAAUAAAAAAUAUAGAAUAAAUAUUACA